rnacentral:rRNA from 1 species
AGAGUUUGAUCCUGGCUCAGGAUGAACGCUAGCUACAGGCUUAACACAUGCAAGUCGAGGGGAAACGACAUCGAAAGCUUGCUUUUGAUGGGCGUCGACCGGCGUACGGGUGAGUAACGCGUAUCCAACCUGCCCACCACUUGGGGGAUAGCCUUGCGAAAGUAAGACUAAUACCCAAUGAUAUCUCUAGAAGACAUCUGAAAGAGAUUAAAGAUUUAUCGGUGAUGGAUGGGGAUGCGUCUGAUUAGCUUGUUGGCGGGGUAACGGCCCACCAAGGCAACGAUCAGUAGGGGUUCUGAGAGGAAGGUCCCCCACAUUGGAACUGAGGCACGGUCCAAACUCCUACGGGAGGCAGCA